rnacentral:tRNA from 1 species
GGAAGUGUGCCUGAGACAUAAGGGCUACUUUGAUAAAGUAGACACGGAAACAACAAUAUUCCCACCUCCC